AGGCAGUGGCGCACGGGUGAGUAACGCGUAACUGACCUACCCCCAAGACGCGGAUAACCAUCCGAAAGGAUGGCUAAUACGUGAUGUGCAAGCGGGUUUCCGGCCUGUUUUGUAAAGACUUGAUCGUUUGGGGAUGGGGUUGCGUUCCAUCAGCUAGUUGGUGGGGUAAAGGCCCACCAAGGCGACGACGGAUCGCCGGCCUGAGAGGGUGGCCGGCCACAGGGGCACUGAGACACGGGUCCCACUCCUACGGGAGGCAGCAGUUAGGAAUCUUCCACAAUGGGGGCAACCCUGAUGGAGCGACGCCGCGUGAGGGAUGAAGGUUUUCGGAUCGUAAACCUCUGAAUCUGGGACGAAAGACGCGACGAGCGGGAUGACGGUACCAGAGUAAUAGCACCGGCUAACUCCGUGCCAGCAGCCGCGGUAAUACGGAGGGUGCAAGCGUUACCCGGAAUCACUGGGCGUAAAGGGCGUGUAGGCGGCUCACUAAGUCUGGCUUUAAAGACAGCGGCUCAACCGCUGGAAUGGGCUGGGUA
rnacentral:rRNA from 1 species